UAUAGCAACGAGAGAUAACACCUUUCUCGUCUCGAACUUUUAUCGUAUAGCCGGUAGAUAUCCGCUGCCUUCACCGGACCGAUGGGCUGGCGCCGUUGCAGCGUCAUCGGGUCGAUCGCACCUUGCAUGCAAGCAAACCGAAAAGUGCCCCCACAUGAAGAGUUUGUCUUACACCGUGUUCAGAAGUUAUGCAUUCGAAAGAAAAGCGGCAGCGAUGUUCAGCCGUAACUGGAACGUUAUGGGUGCCGGGUUGCCACUGUUUCCAGUCUGUGCGAGGGCGUUAACCGAGUUUGGUGACAGUGCGAAUAUCAAGCAAGAUUGCGAGUCAGCUUCCCCACAAGACAAGACAGUGAAGGUGCCUUCAACGAGAGAAAGAAAGAACAGAAGGGAACAAAGGACGGAGUGCGCAAGAAUUCGCGAUAGAGGUUUUCAGUAGUCUCCAUCCGAAGCUCGAGGUUGAAAAUAGAGUCGGUUCUGUUUGUUUUCUGGGUUCGUUCCUUUAACGGAGGCUGGCUUUCUUUGCAGCGUAACUGGUAACCAGUCUUGGUUAAGGGUGAAUCGCCAGUCUGAACUAAACUGUACGUCUCCGAGGGCUGCUCGCGCUGACGUGAUUGAAAAUGCGGAAACGCGCACGCCGACGCCGCCACCGUAGCCGAUAACCGCUGGAGCGUGUCGAUCUUGUCAGGGCCAAGGAAUGCGGUAGGUGGCGCGUAACAGUCAGUGAAACGUUACAGGAUUACCCGGGUUGCGGAGCUUCGAAAAAAACAAAAAAUAAAAUAAAAAGGCCAUCACCAUA
rnacentral:lncRNA from 1 species